rnacentral:snoRNA from 1 species
ACGACCUUACUUGAACAGGAUCUGUUCUAUAGGCUCGUACCUCUGUAUCCUUGAUUACUAAGGAGACAGGCCCCAAACCCUGGUUGAUGAAAUAUGGCCGUGCGAUCAGAGU